rnacentral:rRNA from 1 species
CAUUAUCGAAUCUCGAGGAGGGGGACUGUCGCUGGCUUGUCCUUAAUCCCAAGGACGGAGCAUGUGCACGUCUCUCUUUCUCUUCACACCUGUGCACCCAUCGUAGGCCCUCGAAAGAGGGUCUAUGUCUUCUUGUCAUCACACCGAUCGCAUGUCCAUAGAAUGUCAUUACGAUCGUCUUACUGACCCCUCGGGUCGGGGGGGCGCUCGAUACAAUAAAUACAACUUUCAGCAACGGAUCUCUUGGCUCUCGCAUCGAUGAAGAACGCAGCGAAUUGCGAUAAGUAAUGUGAAUUGCAGAUUUUCAGUGAAUCAUCGAAUCUUUGAACGCACCUUGCGCUCCUUGGUAUUCCGAGGAGCAUGCCUGUUUGAGUGUCAUCGAAUUCUCAAUCAUGCCUUGAUCGAUCUCAAGGGCAUGGCUUGGAGGUUGGGGGUUGCUGGCUUCGAAAGACGUCAGCUCUCCUGAAAUGCAUUAGCAAACGUGUCAGCAAGUGGUUGACGUGCACGGCCUUUCGACGUGAUAAUGAUCGUCGUGGCUUGGAGCGUCAGACAUGCAAAGGAGGCUUGUUUGCUUCUAAUCGUGGGUGGACCCAUGGUUCGCUUAGCUACUAGUCGGUCGUGAGGCUGGCGAACGCAGCAGAUCUAGGUUUGUCCGUGAUCCUUCGACAGCUUGACCUCAAAUCAGGUAGGACUACCCGCUGAACUUAAGCAUAUCAAUAAGCGGAGGAAAAGAAACUAACAAGGAUUCCCCUAGUAACUGCGAGUGAAGCGGGAAAAGCUCAAAUUUUGAAUCUGGCGGUCUUUGGCCGUCCGA